rnacentral:rRNA from 1 species
AGGAUGAACGCUGGCGGUCUGCUUAACACAUGCAAGUCGAACGGGCGUAGCAAUACGUUAGUGGCGGACGGGUGAGUAACGCGUGAGAAUCUACCUUCAGGACGGAGACAACAGUUGGAAACGACUGCUAACCCCCGAUGUACUGAAAAGGCAAAUAUUUAUAGCCUGAAGAAGAGCUCGCGUCCGAUUAGCUAGUUGGAGAGGUAAAAGCUCACCAAGGCGACGAUCGGUAGCUGGUCUGAGAGGACGAUCAGCCACACUGGGACUGAGACACGGCCCAGACUCCUACGGGAGGCAGCAGUGGGGAAUUUUCCGCAAUGGGCGAAAGCCUGACGGAGCAAGACCGCGUGGGGGAAGAAGGCUCUUGGGUUGUAAACCCCUUUUCUCUGGAAGAAGUUGUGAAGCAGCCUGACGGUACCAGAGGAAUCAGCAUCGCUAACUCCGUGCCAGCAGCCGC